rnacentral:rRNA from 1 species
GACGAACGCUGGCGGCGUGCCUAAUACAUGCAAGUAGAACGCUGAAGGAGGAGCUUGCUCUUCUGGAUGAGUUGCGAACGGGUGAGUAACGCGUAGGUAACCUGCCUGGUAGCGGGGGAUAACUAUUGGAAACGAUAGCUAAUACGGCAUAACAGUAGAUGUUGCAUGACAUUUGCUUAAAAGGUGCAAUUGCACCACUACCAGAUGGACCUGCGUUGUAUUAGCUAGUUGGUGGGGUAACGGCUCACCAAGGCGACGAUACAUAGCCGACCUGAGAGGGGGAUCGGCCACACUGGGACUGAGACACGGCCCAGACUCCUACGGGAGGCAGCAGUAGGGAAUCUUCGGCAAUGGACGGAAGUCUGACCGAGCAACGCCGCGUGAGUGAAGAAGGUUUUCGGAUCGUAAAGCUCUGUUGUAAGAGAAGAACGAGUGUGAGAGUGGAAAGUUCACACUGUGACGGUAUCUUACCAGAAAGGGACGGCUAACUACGUG